UAUAAGAUUACCAAGAUCAUUUCAUAUCUUGCAAAUUCCUCUCUCUCCUUCUCCCCUAACUUUCGACCACCACCUCUCUCCCCUUCAUCUCUCUACUUUCCACCAUUUUCCUCCAUUGAUGCACCUUCGGAGCUUCACAAAUUCAUACCAAAACUCAAAUCACCCUCUAAAUCCACCUUAAACACCUUCCAUCUCCUUAGAUUCAAGAAGAUCCAUGGAGAUUCAAUCUUGAAGUUAGUGAGAGAAAAUUUGAUAUUUGGUGUAAACUUGGACACGAGCAGAGCAGGGAAGUAAGUAACUCCGCUUUGACGGGAGUUUUUGAGUAAGGUCUUCAGGCUAAGCGAGGAGCGAGAUUGGUCUGGUGCUGGCGGGGAAUUGUUAGAGGAUGUAUUUACUUUAUCGUAUUUCCAUUUUGACGAUAAAGUCUUGAUAAUUGAUAUACUUGGAUUUUCUUUUGAAGUUAAGCAAUGUACUCACGGUUAUAUGUCUUCAUACAUAUAAUCGAUUUGCCUUUUGCUGCGAUACUCUGCAUAUUAUGAUUCCUUACGAAAAAUGAGCGAUACCCGUUUUGUUUUUGAUCUUGAAAUUCCUGAUAAUUAAAAAGUUAUAACGACGUUGACGAUUUUACCCUUGGGGUCAUUUAUGAUGAUUUUCCUUAGCAUGCUUUAA